CGCCGCCCAGAGGUCAUUGGGCAGCGAUGUUUUCUUUUCCCCAAUUUGCCGCCUCCAAUUAAUAGAACCUUGAACAGGGCGUGGCACGCGGUGAAGCGUGGCCAUUGACACAUACGAUUGUGAUACUGGGACGUCAGAUCCCACAAAAAGGACUGACGUCUACUGCCGCCGUCGCUGGCGACGCGUCCAGUACCUGGCAAACCGGUUCUGGCAACGAUGGCGCUCCGAGUUCCUCCCGAGUCUCCAGGAAAGGAGGAAAUGGGCGACAGCGCACGAGAACAUCGAACUAGACAGCGUCGUGCUCGUUGUCGACGACAACUCUCCCCGCUGCAAGUGGAUGCUGGGGCGCGUCACGCGGCUUCAUCCGUCCGACGACGGAUUCGUCCGGCGGGUCGCCGUACGCACGAAAGACGGAACAUAUGAUCGACCGAUACAGAAGCUGGUGCGGCUCCUCCCGUAGGCGCCGACUUCGGUGGGCCGCGCGCUGCUGGUGGCUCCGGCGGCGUUCUGCGGGGCCGGGCCGCGCGCUGGUGGUGGCUUCGGCGGUGCUUGAGCAGAGUUGGCGGCUGCAGCCAUCGACGGCGCUCAGUGGGGGCUGAACUGUGCGCAGCUGUCAGGCUGAACUGUGAAGCUGCUGCGUUGCCUGGAGUGCUGCGUAGCCUAGACUACUGCUGCGACCCUGAGCGUUGCGCGUGGGGCUGUCUGUGGCUCUGCCAGUGACGACAGUGGCUCAUUUAAUGACAGUGGCUCAGACGUUGAAGGUUUAACUGAGACAUACAGUCAUGCAGUGUCUCAGAGCGUGCGACAUAAACAGUUAACAGCCACCGACAGUGUGGUGGUUGUUAGUGCGUUGUGAACUGAGGAGAGUGGCACGUCAGCUGACGAGUGAGCUGACUAGUAUGUGUUGGCGCUACGUAUCGUGAGCGGCUGCCGAGUGUCGCUUAGUGAUGGACGACGGGCAACUCCCGUGACGUAAGAUGAUUUCAGUUUGCCACCAUCUUUACCGUCGUCGGUCGUGUGGCGCAGGAUGGUUGCGCUCCGCGGUCGUGUUGCGCAAAUGUGGACUGUCUUGUUAUAGAAUCGUGACCGAUUGGUGGGAGUGUAACCGCCGCCCAGAGGUCAUUGGGCAGCGAUGUUUUCUUUUCCCCAAUUUGCCGCCUCCAAUUAAUAGAACCUUGAACAGGGCGUGGCACGCGGUGAAGCGUGGCCAUUGACACAUACGAUUGUGAUACUGGGACGUCAGAUCCCACAAAAGUAAGAUUAUUGUCCAUUGAUAAUUGAUUAAUGUAUGCAAUGCUUUGAAAUGAUUGGUUUUUGUGUUGUUCGUGUAUCCAUGUGUAUUAUUUUUUGUUGAUACUAUUGUUUGUUUCAGGUUUUACGUACAAUAUAGCGGCACCUAGUAGAA